UACGUAGGGAGCAAGCGUUGUUCGGAAUCACUGGGCGUAAAGGGCGUGUAGGCGGUUAGGUAAGUGGAAUGUGAAAUCCCUCGGCUCACCCGAGGACCUGCAUCCCAAACUGCCUGACUUGAGUAUGGGAGAGGAUGAGGGAAUUCCUGGUGUAGCGGUGAAAUGCGUAGAUAUCAGGAGGAACACCGGUGGCGAAGGCGCUCAUCUGGCCCAAUACUGACGCUGAGGCGCGAAAGCUAGGGGAGCAAACGGG
rnacentral:rRNA from 1 species